CUUGACAACCGAGUAAAGAAGGGCCUACUCAUGAUCAUAAACACGUUUACUUCGUCUCUAUAAAUUAGAAGAAGAUCGAGAGGAAUUGCCAUCAAACAUUCAAAUCAUAUAACUCAUCAAAUUAGAAAAAGAAAAAAAAAAUCUACGAAAAUGGGCUCCAAAUCUAUUUUAUUUGUUGGCCUUUUCCUAGCUAUGACUGUUCUCAUCUCCUCACAAAUAGUAGCUGCAGAAUGGAACGAUAUUAAUCAGCGGGAACCUCCCGAUACUAAUAAGCCUCCGCCAACAGGAGGAGUGUGCAAGCACGGGUGUUGCGGCCGGAGCUCUCACACCGGUGGUUGCAUUUGUUGCACUCGCCCCGGUCAGCAGCCUUCGACGCCUCAGAAUCCUAACAACCGCCGGCCGCCGGGGGGAAAGGGCUAAGAACUAGCUAGCCAAGGAAAAUAAAUGUAGCUCAUGACAUUUUUCUAUGUUUACAUUUAUGUAUUGAUACCAUAUGAUAUAUAUGGAUAAUUAAAAUAAUGCAUGUAUUGAGCAUGCUGGUGGUAUGUCACUACUUGUAAUUUGAUGUUUGAUCAUUUGCUAAACUUUAUAUGAAUGUGUUCACUCA